AGCUGAUGAAAAACAUUUGUGUCCCUCCAGGUGUAUAAACUGAUUUCAGUGGAGUUUCACCAGUUUAGACUGCUUGACAAUCUGGCCCACAAUUAUUACACCAUAAACUAGCCUGUGAACAGGGGUAUCAGAAGGAAGCCAUGAGCCUUACAUUUCUCCAUUAAACCAGUGCAGUAGAAAUGGAUUCUCAGCCUAAUAAGGUUUGACAAGACCUGGCACUGGAAGCAGGUACCAAGGAAUCCAACUAGUCGAAAGCAUUAGAGACACCAUGGGUACCAGAGGAUAGAGGUGUUGCCAUGGGAACAGAGUGAAAGGUGCUCCAUGGUGGCUGGUUAGGAGAUGAAGGUCCUGACAGCACCUCAAGCUAUUACCCUGUUCAGGCAGAGUGUGAAAUGGAAGAUUCAAGAUUCAUACUCUCUGCGUACAGCUGCUGAUCUGUAUCCAAAAGUCUUGUAAAUGAUCUGAGCUGAAGUCCAUAAUUUAAAGAA